UGUCAAUUAUCUUGCGUUGUAUGAUGGC
rnacentral:piRNA from 1 species